GGGUGCAAGCGUUAUCCGGAUUCACUGGGUUUAAAGGGUGCGUAGGCGGGUUGGUAAGUCCGUGGGGAAAUCCCCAAGCUUAACUUGGGAACUGCCGUGGAUACUAUCAAUCUUGAAUAUCGUGGAGGUAAGCGGAAUAUGUCAUGUAGCGGUGAAAUGCUUAGAUAUGACAUAGAACACCAAUUGCGUAGGCAGCUUACUACACGAUCAUUGACGCUGAGGCGCGAAAGCGUGGGGAGCAAACAGG
rnacentral:rRNA from 1 species